UACAGAGGGGGCAAGCGUUGUUCGGAAUUACUGGGCGCAAAGGGCGCGUAGGCGGCCUGUUAAGUCGAACGUGAAAUCCCUGGGCUCAACCCAGGAACUGCGUCCGAUACUGGCAGGCUUGAAUCCGGGAGAGGGAUGUGGAAUUCCAGGUGUAGCGGUGAAAUGCGUAGAUAUCUGGAGGAAUACCGGUGGCGAAGGCGGCAUCCUGGACCGAGAUUGACACUGAUGAGCGAAAGCUAGGGGAGCAAACGGG
rnacentral:rRNA from 1 species